rnacentral:rRNA from 1 species
CGCAACCCUUGUCCUUAGUUACCAGCACGUUAUGGUGGGCACUCUAAGGAGACUGCCGGGUGACAAACCGGAGGAAGGUGGGGAUGACGUCAAGUCAUCAUGGCCCUUACGGCCUGGGCUACACACGUGCUACAAUGGUCGGUACAAAGGGUUGCCAAGCCGCGAGGUGGAGCUAAUCCCAUAAAACCGAUCGUAGUCCGGAUCGCAGUCUGCAACUCGACUGCGUGAAGUCGGAAUCGCUAGUAAUCGUGAAUCAGAAUGUCACGGUGAAUACGUUCCCGGGCCUU